GUGAGGAAUAUUGGUCAAUGGACGAGAGUCUGAACCAGCCAAGUAGCGUGAAGGAUGACUGCCCUAUGGGUUGUAAACUUCUUUUAUAAGGGAAUAAAGUGAGGGACGUGUCCCUUUUUGUAUGUACCUUAUGAAUAAGGAUCGGCUAACUCCGUGCCAGCAGCCGCGGUAAUACGGAGGAUCCAAGCGUUAUCCGGAUUUAUUGGGUUUAAAGGGAGCGUAGGUUGACAUAUAAGUCAGCUGUGAAAGUUUACGGCUCAACCGUGAAAUUGCAGUUGAUACUGUAUGUCUUGAGUGUACAAGAGGUGGGCGGAAUUCGUGGUGUAGCGGUGAAAUGCUUAGAUAUCACGAAGAACUCCAAUUGCGAAGGCAGCUCACUGGGGUACAACUGACACUGAGGCACGAAAGCGUGGGUAGCAAACAGGAUUAGAUACCCCGGUAGUCC
rnacentral:rRNA from 1 species